UAAGGAAUAUUGGUCAAUGGACGCAAGUCUGAACCAGCCAUGCCGCGUGGAGGAUGAAGGUCCUCUGGAUUGUAAACUUCUUUUAUCUGGGAAGAAAUCCAUUUUUUCUAAAAUGGUUGACGGUACCAGAUGAAUAAGCACCGGCUAACUCCGUGCCAGCAGCCGCGGUAAUACGGAGGGUGCAAGCGUUAUCCGGAUUCACUGGGUUUAAAGGGUGCGUAGGUGGGCAAGUAAGUCAGUGGUGAAAUCUCCGGGCUUAACCCGGAAACUGCCAUUGAUACUAUUUGUCUUGAAUACUGUGGAGGUCAGCGGAAUAUGUCAUGUAGCGGUGAAAUGCUUAGAUAUGACAUAGAACACCAAUUGCGAAGGCAGCUGGCUACACAAAUAUUGACACUGAGGCACGAAAGCGUGGGGAUCAAACAGGAUUAGAUACCCUGGUAGUCCACGCCCUAAACUAUGGAUACUCGACAUUUGCGAUAAACUGCAAGUGUCUGAGCGAAAGCAUUAAGUAUCCCACCUGGGAAGUACGAUCGCAAGAUUGA
rnacentral:rRNA from 1 species